GCAGAAUAGCCAAGCGGUGGAUAGGGGGGGUUUUGACUCCCAGCUUAAAUCUCUGGGUUCGAACCCCAGUGUCUGCA